AUCUUGCGCAAUGGGCGAAAGCCUGACGCAGCGAUGCCGCGUGCGGGAAGACGGCCUUCGGGUUGUAAACCGCUUUCAGCAGGGACGAAAUUGACGGUACCUGCAGAAGAAGCUCCGGCCAACUACGUGCCAGCAGCCGCGGUAAGACGUAGGUGGCAAGCGUUGUCCGGAUUUACUGGGCGUAAAGCGCGCGCAGGCGGACUGGUAAGUCUGGGGUGAAAUCUCACGGCUCAACUGUGAGCGGUCCCCGGAUACUGCCGGUCUUGAGGGGCUCAGAGGAGAGUGGAAUUCCCGGUGUAGUGGUGGAAUGCGUAGAUAUCGGGAGGAACACCAGUGGCGAAAGCGACUCUCUGGGGGCAACCUGACGCUGAGGCGCGAAAGCGUGGGGAGCAA
rnacentral:rRNA from 1 species